AACAGGGUCUUACUCUUUCUCCCAGGCUGGAAGUUCAGUGGCAUGAUCACAGCUCACUGCAGCCUCGACCUCCUGGGCUCCAGCAGUCCUUCUGCCUCAGCCUCCUGAGUAGCUGGGACUACAGGUACACACCACCUCACCCAGAUGAUGUUUUUGAUUUUUAGUACACAUGAGGUCUUAUUAUAUUGCCCAGACUGGUCUCGAACUCCUGAGCUCAAGUGAUCCUCCUGCCUUGGCCUUCCAAAGUGCUGCGAUUACAGGUCAGUCCCAGGAUCUUGGCAUGAUUUGAGAAGUUCCUGCUGCCGUCCACCAUUUCUGGCCAAGGAGACCUCUGGGAAGCCAAGCUCAGGAAUGUAGCCAUUCCACCGAACCAUUUCCAUGGAAUGACUCAUUUGGAAAUCUGUUUUUCCUCUGUGAGAUUUCCUGGAUCUAUCAAUUACUGAAAUUCCUAAGCAAAAGAUACCCUUUCAGGACUUGACCAUUGUUUUUUGUUUGUAUGUGUAUGUUUUUUUUUUCUUAGAAAACUGAGGAUGGCUUUACUAAACAUCUGUUGCCUGAGUCUAUAUUCUUCAGGACUCACUUCUGAAAAUCUAAGAUUCCUUUAAAGUGGUUCGUACUGUUAAAUGACUGAAUCUUCACUUUUCUAUUUCUGCAAACCUCAUACAAAUUAUUUUCAAAAUAGACAACUAAAAAUUGUAGUAUCUUGUACGUGAUGUUUUAGAUUAUGCAUACAUUGUGGAAAGGCUCAAUAGAGCUAAUCAACAGAUCCAUUACCUCAGAUACUUAUCCCUUUUUUUAUGGUGAGAACACUUAAAAUCUAUUCUCUUAGCAUUUUUCGAAGUAUAGUACUGUUAUUAACUAUGGUCACUACAUUGUACAAUUGAUUAGGAAUAUAUUCUGCCUCUCGAACUGGAAUUUUGUAUCCUUUGACCAACCUCUCCCCAAACCCCCAUGUAUCCAGCUCCUGUUAAUCACUAUUCUACUCUCUACUUGGAUUAGUUCGAUUUUUUAGAUUCCACAUAUAUGUGAGAUUAUGUGGUAUCUGUCUUUCUGUGCCUGGUUUAUUUCACUUGAUAGAAUUUCCUUCUUGUUUAAGGCUGAAUAGUAUUCCUUUGCAUAUAUUUAGCAUAUUUUCUUUAUCCAUUGAUCCAUUGAUGAACACUUAGGUUGAUUUGGUAUCUUGGCUAUUUGCCAAUAAUGCUGCGGUAAACAUGGGAGUGUAAAUAUCACUCUGACAUACUGAUUUCGUUUUCUUUGGAUAUACACCCGGUAUUGGGAUUGCCAGAUCCAAUGGUAGUUCUAUUUUUAAUAUUUUUGAGAAACCUCCAUACUGCUUUCUAUAAUGACUACACUAAUUUACUCCCACCAACAACGUGAAAGGGUUUCCUUUCCUCCAUAUACUCACCAGCAAUUAUCUUUCAUCUAGUUGAUAAUAUCCAUUCCAAUAGGUGUGAAAUGAUAUCUGAUUAUAGUUUCAAUUUACAUUUUCCUGAUGAUGAGUGAUGUUGAGCAUUUUGGUUUAUACUUACUAGCCAUUUGUAUUUAUUCUUUUGAGAAAUGUCUAAUCAGGUCCUUUAGCUAUGUUUUAAUUGGGUUAUUUGUUUUCUUGCUACUGAAUUGAAUUCCUUGUAUGUUUUGAAUAUUAAAUGAUUAUCAGAUGUAUGAGUUUGCAAAUAUUUUCUCCCAUCCCGUAGGUUGUCUCUUCACUCUGUUGAUUGUUUCCUUGGCUUGCAUGAGCUUUUGAAUUUGGUGUAAUCUUAUUUGUCUAUUUUUGCUUUAUUUGCUUUUGCUUUUGAGGUCAUAUCCAAAAAAAAUCAUUGCUCGGAUCAAUGUUAUGGAACUUUUCUCUUACGUGUUCUGGUAGUUUUUUUUUCUUUUUCCAAUAAUUUUAUGAAGUUCAGGGGUACAUGUGCAGGUUUGUUACAUAGGUAAACAUGUGUCAUGGAAGUUUUGUACAGAUUAUUUCAUCGCUCAGGUAUUAAGACUAGUAGCGGUAGUUACUUUCCCCACCCUCUGACAGUGUGUGUUGUUCCCCUCUAUCUGUCCAUGUGUUCUCGUCAUUUAGCUUUCACUUAUAAGUGAGAACAUGCAGUGUUUGAUUUUCUGUUCCUACCCUAGUUUGCUAAGGAUGAUGGCCUCCAGCUGCAUCCAUGUCCCUGCAAAGGACAUAACAUUGUUCCUUUCUUUUUUUUU
rnacentral:lncRNA from 10 species